rnacentral:hammerhead_ribozyme from 1 species
GUACUGCUGAGGAGUCCCAUAAUAGGACGAAACGGCCGUCCAGUUC